GACAGAGGGUGCGAACGUUGUUCGGAAUUACUGGGCGUAAAGCGCAUGUAGGUGGUGGCGUAAGUCGGAUGUGAAAUCUCGGAGCUCAACUCCGAAACUGCAUUGGAACUGCGUUGCUAGAGGGUUGGAGGGGGGACUGGAAUGCUUGGUGUAGCAGUGAAAUGCGUAGAUAUCAAGCGGAACACCAGUGGCGAAGGCGAGUCCCUGGACAACACCUGACACUGAGGCACGAAAGCUAGGGGAGCAAACAGG
rnacentral:rRNA from 1 species